rnacentral:rRNA from 1 species
GCGCAGCAGUCGCGAAACCUUCGCAAUGCGGGAAACCGCGACGAGGGGACUCCCAGUGCCUACGCUCAGCGUAGGCUGUUCCCGAGCCUAGAAAGCUCGGGGAGUAAGGGCUGGGUAAGACGGGUGCCAGCCGCCGCGGUAAUACCCGCAGCCCGAGUGGUGGCCACUAUUAUUGGGCCUAAAGCGUCCGUAGCCGGCCCGGUAAAUGCCUGGGUAAAUCGUGAGGCCUAACCUCACGAAUUCCGGGUAGACUGCCGGGCUAGGGACCGGAGGAGGGAGAGGGUACUCCAGGGGUAGGGGUGAAAUCCUGUAAUCCCUGGAGGACCACCGGUGGCGAAGGCGCUCUCCUAGGACGGGUCCGACGGUGAGGGACGAAAGCCAGGGGAGCGAACCGGAUUAGAUACCUCUGUAGU